AUACGGAGGGUGCAAGCGUUAAUCGGAAUUACUGGGCGUAAAGCGUACGUAGGCGGUUAGUUAAGUUAGAUGUGAAAGCCCCGGGCUUAACCUGGGAACUGCAUUUAAAACUGGCUAACUAGAGUUAAGUAGAGGGGAGUGGAAUUUCAGGUGUAGCGGUGAAAUGCGUAGAGAUCUGAAGGAACACCAGUGGCGAAGGCGACUCCCUGGACUUGAACUGACGCUGAGGUACGAAAGCAUGGGUAGCAAACGGGAUUAGAAACCCUAGUAGUCC
rnacentral:rRNA from 1 species